GUGAAUCAUCAAAUUUUUGAACGCAAAUUGCACUCUCUUCUGAGAGUAUGCCUGUUUGAGGGUCAGCCUAAAAAAAAAUCGACGUAGUCGCUGUUUCUCGCUGACAUUCUUCGGAAAUUGGGUCGUCUUAAACCUUUGUUUUUUAAGCGGCUUAAAAUUUUCUUUACUAUUCCACGAACGUUUUUAAGUUUUAUUUCUUACACUUUUAAGGUAAUCGAUCUUGAUUAGACAUCGU
rnacentral:misc_RNA from 1 species